rnacentral:rRNA from 1 species
UCCGUAGGCGGGCAAUUAAGUCAGAGGUGAAAUCCCACAGCUCAACUGUGGAACUGCCUUUGAUACUGGUUGUCUUGAGUUAUAGUGAAGUAGAUAGAAUGUGUAGUGUAGCGGUGAAAUGCAUAGAUAUUACACAGAAUACCGAUUGCGAAGGCAGUCUACUAACUAACAACUGACGCUAAUGGACGAAAGCGUGGGGAGCGAACAGGAUUAGAUACCCUGGUAGUCC